GACGAAUGCUGGCUGCGUGCUUAACACAUGCAAGUCGAACGGUGAAAGGGAGCUUGCUCCCUGGAUCAGUGGCGAACGGGUGAGUAACACGUGGGCAACCUGCCCCUCACUCUGGGAUAACUCCGGGAAACCGGGGCUAAUACCGGAUACGACCUGGUGCGACAUCGCACCGGGUGGAAAGAACUUCGGUGAGGGAUGGGCCCGCGGCCUAUCAGCUUGUUGGUGGGGUAACGGCCCACCAAGGCGACGACGGGUAGCCGGCCUGAGAGGGCGACCGGCCACACUGGGACUGAGACACGGCCCAGACUCCUACGGGAGGCAGCAGUGGGGAAUAUUGCGCAAUGGGCGAAAGCCUGACGCAGCGACGCAGCGUGAGGGACGAAGGCCUUCGGGUUGUAAACCUCUUUCAGCGGGGACGAAGCGAAAGUGACGGUACCCGCAGAAGAAGCACCGGCUAACUACGUGCCAGCAGCCGCCGUAAUAC
rnacentral:rRNA from 1 species